UACGGAGGGUGCGAGCGUUGUCCGGAAUCAUUGGGCGUAAAGGGCGCGUAGGUGGCCCCUCAAGCGUGCGGUGAAAGUCAGGGGCUCAACCCCUGAUCGGCCGUGCGAACUGGGGAGCUUGAGCACUGUAGAGGCAGGCGGAAUUCCGGGUGUAGCGGUGGAAUGCGUAGAGAUCCGGAAGAACACCGGUGGCGAAGGCGGCCCGCUGGGCAGUGGCUGACGCUGAGGCGCGACAGCGUGGGGAGCAAACAGG
rnacentral:rRNA from 1 species